rnacentral:rRNA from 1 species
GGUUCGAUUAUGGCUCAGGUUGAACGCUGGCCGGGUGCUUUACCAUGCAAGUCGAACAACAGCACGGGCUUCAGAUCACCGGUGGCUGAUGGCGAACGGGUGAGUAAUGUAUCGGAACGUGCCUAGUAGCGGGGGAUAACUACGCGAAAGCGUAGCUAAUACCGCAUACGUCCUUCGGGGAAAGCGGGGGACCUUCGGGCCUCGCACUAUUAGAGCGGCCGAUAUCGGAUUAGCUAGUUGGUGGGGUAACGGCUCACCAAGGCGACGAUCCGUAGCUGGUUUGAGAGGACGACCAGCCACCAUGGGACUGGGACACGCGGCCCAGACUCCUACGGGAGGCAGCAGUGGGGAAUUUUGGACAAUGGGGAAACCCUGAUCCCAGCCAUCCCGCGUGUGCGAUGAAGGCCUUCGGGUUGUAAAGCACUUUUUGGCAGGAAAGAAACUGGCGGGAUAUACACGUGCAGCUGACAGUACCUGCAGAAUAAGCACCGGCUAACUUCACGGUAUAGCAGCGCGAUAAUACAUGAGGUGAAAGCGUUAAUCGGAAUUACUGGGGCAUCAAAGCGUGCGCAGGCGGUUCCCGGAAAGAAGAGUGAAAUCCCAGAGCUUAACUUUCGGAACUGCAUUUUUUAACUGCGACUAGAGUGUGUCCAGAGGAGGUGGAAUUCCGCGUGUAGCAGUGAAAUGCGCAAGUAUGCGGAGGAACACCGAUAGCGAAGGCAGCCUCCUGGGAUAACACUGACGCUCAUGCACGAAAGCGUGGAGACGAGCAGUUAGAUACCUGGUAGCCAGUCCCGCUAAACGGUAUCAACUAGCUGUUGGGCCUUCGGGCCUUGGUAGCGCAGCAGCGUGAAGUUGACCGCCUGGGAGAGUACGGUCGCAAGAUUAAAACUCGAGGAAUUGACGGGGACCCACCUGACGGUGGAUGAUGUGGAUGCAAUUCGAUGCAACGCGAAAAGCCUUACCUACCCUUGACAUGUCUGGAAUCCCGGUUGGAGUGCUCGCAAGAGAACCGGACGCAGGUGCUGCAUGGCUGUCGUCAGCUCGUGUCGUGAGAUGUUGGGUUAAGUCCCGCAACGAGCGCAACCCUUGUCAUUAGUUGCUGAAGAGGCCUCGUAGGACUGCCGGUGACGGCCCGGAGGAAGGUGGGGAUAGCGUCAAGUCCUCAUGGCCCUUAUGGGUAGGGCUUCACACGUCAUACAAUGAGUCGGGACAGAGGUCGCCAACCCGCGAGGAGCCAAUCCCAAGAGCCCGGUCGUAGUCGGAUCGCAGUCUGCAACUCGACUGCGUGAAGUCGGAAUCGCUAGUAAUCACGGAUCAGCAUGUCGCGGUGAAUACGUUCCCGGGUCUUGUACACACCGCCGUCACACCAUGGGAGUGGGUUUACCAGAAGUAGUUAGCCUAACCGUAAGGAGGGCGAUUACCACGGUAGGAUUCAUGACUGGGGUGAAGUCGUAACAAGGUAA